CGGCCAGACUCCUACGGGAGGCAGCAGUAGGGAAUUUUGCGCAAUGGGCGAAAGCCUGACGCAGCAACGCCGCGUGAUCGAGACGCCCUUCGGGGUGUAAAGAUCUGUCAGUGGGGACGAAACUUGACGGUACCCACAGAGGAAGCCCCGGCUAACUACGUGCCAGCAGCCGCGGUAAUACGUAGGGGGCAAGCGUUAUCCGGAUUUACUGGGUGUAAAGGGAGCGUAGACGGCGACGCAAGUCUGAAGUGAAAUGCCAGUGCUCAACACUGGAACUGCUUUGGAAACUGUGUAGCUAGAGUGCAGGAGAGGUAAGUGGAAUUCCUAGUGUAGCGGUGAAAUGCGUAGAUAUUAGGAGGAACACCAGUGGCGAAGGCGGCUUACUGGACUGUAACUGACGUUGAGGCUCGAAGGCGUGGGGAGCAAACAGGAUUAGAUACCCCCGUAC
rnacentral:rRNA from 1 species